ensembl:lncRNA
GUAAAUCUUUUGCCCAGUCAAUAGCACCAUUGCAGACCACAGAACAUGCUACUGAGAGAGAGAUAGUCAUUCUCUCAUGCAAAUAUGAUAGCCAAGCACGUAGUUUACACUGGUAUCGACAAUAUCCUGGAUCCAGACCUGAAUUUCUGCUUCUUGUUUAUGAAUCAAAUAGUGUACUACAUGCAGAACCCCCUUUCCCAAGACUGAAUGCCAGUGUGAAUAAGAUGGAGAAGAAGGUCCAUCUGGAGAUCUCCUCUGCUGCAGUCACAGAUUCAGCUCUGUACUACUGCGCUCUGGAGCCCACAGUGACAGGAAACACAAGAACACUGCACAAAAAACUCUUUAGUCUUUAUUAUGUAGGAUGUUAAAUAUCCUCAAUGACAAUAAUAUAAUUAAAAUAAUAAUGUCAAUUGUCAAUAAUGUCAAUGUCCUUGAAACUUUCUAAAAGCAUUGGUUUACCUUCACUGUGAUCAUAUGCUUAAAUAAAUAAUAAAUAAAGAUUUUGGUUAAUUUUACUCAAAUUGUAUAAUAUUAUAAUACAGUUUAUUAUAUUAUAGUGCAUUAUAUUAAUUAUAAUAUAAUGUAUUUUUAUGUAUCAUAUUUUUUCUUAUAUUUCAGUUUUUUAUGAAGAAAAGGAAAAGAUUCUUUAAAAAGUAUUUCAAUUUAAAAAAAGUACAUAAAUUUGCAAAGCUUGGCAUUUUCAGAAUAAUUUAAUAGUUUUUUCCCCAUUCUUGUCAUAUCAUUCUUCAGUUAAAUAAACAAUAUUUCAAACUAAAUCUGGUACACUGAUAAGGUGAUAUCUCUGAAUGUUUUAAUUUAUACACUGCAAGCUAUGGGUGGAGCUUUUGGGUGGAUCUCACAAAAAUUCACAUCUGUGUGCAGUUUUCAUUCGCUGUUUGUGGUACAAAGAUGAUGCUUCUGUUCUGUCUGCUUGUGUUUUCAAUAACAGAAUAUACAUUUGCACAGUCAAUAAGACCACAGCAGAAUGACAUUAAUAUCACUGAAAAGCAGCCGGUCAUGCUGUCAUGCAAAUAUGAGGGAAGUGCAAACAGUCUGCAUUGGUAUCGCCAGUAUCCUGGAUCCAAACCUGAAUUUGUGCUGCUUGUCAUUGAGGCAUCCACUAUGCAUGUAAAAUAUGCAGAUCCCCGUAUCCCUGGAAUGGAUGGAAAAAUAAGCAUGAAAGAUAAGCAAGUGUAUCUGGAGAUCUCCUCUGCUGAAGUAUCAGACUCUGCUCUGUAUUACUGCGCCCUGGAGCCCACAGUGACAGGAAACACAUCAACACUGUACAAAAACCUACUGAAUCUCCAUUCUUUUGUCAUAGCCUCAUGUUUUCUGCUUGCAGAUUAAUCAGGUUAUUCAAAUAAAUUCAAAUUUAUUUAUGAAUUAAAAAAUAUU